GACGAACGCUGGCGGCGUGCUUAACACAUGCCAGUCGAACGGAAAGGCCCUGCUUGCAGGGUACUCGAGUGGCGAACGGGUGAGUAACACGUGGGUGAUCUGCCCUGCACUUCGGGAUAAGCCUGGGAAACUGGGUCUAAUACCGGAUAGGAGCCAUUUUUAGUGUGAUGGUUGGAAAGUUUUUUCGGUGUAGGAUGAGCUCGCGGCCUAUCAGCUUGUUGGUGGGGUAAUGGCCUACCAAGGCGGCGACGGGUAGCCGGCCUGAGAGGGUGGACGGCCACAUUGGGAAUGAGAUACGGCCCAGACUCGUACGGGAGGCAGCAGGGGGGAAUAUUGCACAAUGGGCGCAAGCCUGAUGCAGCGCCGCCGCGUGGGGGAUAACGGCCUUCGGGUUUUAAACUCCUUUCGCUAGGGACGAAGCUUUUUGUGGAGGUACCUAGAUAAGAAGCCCCGGCUACCUACGG
rnacentral:rRNA from 1 species